CACCCUGCCGCGUUGCCCCACCCCAGCACCCGGUCUUGCCCCGCCCACGUUCCGAGUGCUCAAUGGUUGCUUUAGCUUUUCUCGCUCGGCUCCUAUGGGAGCGCGUCUCUCCCCAAGACGCUGUGGUAGCUUGUUCUCUAGAACUCCCUGCAGGAGGUGGCCACAAACCCAGUGUUGGGAGUGACGAUGCCCCGUUGCACCGCUGCACACAAAACUGCAUUGAUUUCAGAACUGUCUGGAGCAAUAUACACCUUCCCAGUGCAGGAGCUAGAGUGGAUGAGUCUGGGGCCAGAAGAGGAAGAUUUUCUGCAGUGACUCAAGGCAGAGCUGGCAUAUUAAGUACUGCUUAAUAUUGUUGUUCAUUUGUUUGCAAGGUAUUGAAGUGACUUGUACAAAGCAGAUUUAUUAGGAUAUUCAUAGAAUUGAUAGGGUAAAAAUGGCAUAAGCUGGGGCCACCAAGGGAUCUAGGAAACAGAAAUGAAUGUAAACUGCCACUGUAAGAAUGGAUGAACACCAGUGGAUUUCUCUGCUCUUAGGACACACUGCUCAUGAUUUCAAAGUCAAGGAGAGUUUCCUUUUGUCUUGAUUUAGGGUAGGACCUGAUUUAUAGUCCCAGCGAGACCACAUCGUGGGGAGAGUAAUGCUUCAAAGAAAAAUCUUGCUCUUCCCCCAGGAAGAGUCAUUACAUAUAUUAGUCCAAAUGGUAGUGGCAAGGACAGGCACCCACUUAAGGCAGGAAAGGGAGAGUGCUGUUGAGAGUCCCAGAAGACAAAGGAUUUAAUUGUUGAUUGGGAAACGCGUAUAUUCAACAUCAAACCUGUCUUUUCUCAAAGAAUGUGUUCCCUCUUCCUGUUUCCCUGAUUCAUUCAUUAAACAAGUAUUGGCUGGCUGGCUGCCUGUCCUGUUACAUGCAAAUUUCGAAUCCAGGACAACCAGCCUCAAAACCUAAGUAGUGCAAUGCAUCCCUUUGCUCUCAUAUUAGGUUACUUAUUAAGUUCUGUCAAUUACUUGUGCAUAGACAUGGACUUACACGUUAUAUGGAUAAGUAAUUUCUAAACAUGCUUUGACCAUGGAACUUGAAUGACCAUAAUAUUCAAAGGAAAUUAAAGCAUGUUAAAAAGAAAAAGAUGGGUUUCCUGUAUAAGUCUUGUGAUAACUCUUCUUGUUGACACACCUGGGAAGAGGAGAAUCUCAGUUGAGGAAUUACCAUCAGAUGGGCCUGUGACAGUGCCUAUGGGGCCUUUUCUUGAUUGUUAAUUGUUGGA